rnacentral:lncRNA from 1 species
GUACUCUCCAAGUCUCCCAAUGGAGGAUGAAGAAGAAGAAUCUGGUACUCAGCCGGAAGAAGUAAUAGCACCCCCGCUGCCUCCUGCUCAGCCGCAACCUGUCAAGACUAUUUCCAUGUCGAGUAAUGCACAAGUCAAUUACCUGCACUGGCAAAGCUCAGGCCAAAAGCGACUGCUUGCUUUCUCAUGGCCAGCAAAACAGCGCCAGUGUCUCAUUUUCCAUCUCCAAAAACCUGCAUUGAGCAGAGCUUUGAUUCACCCGAGUCACAGCUGCGUCUGCAGAUUCUACCACCCUUGAUAAAGCUGAUCCUUUUAGUGAAACCGAGGAGAAAAAGAAGAAGAAAAAGACGGCAAAAAUUGAAAGAGCACGAGAAACUGUGAUGGAAAUUGAAGAAAUAAAGAGAGCUGAGCGCUUGUUCACGGACAGCCACAACAACUACCCUUUGAUGAAUCCGGGCGCGGUAGACUCUAUAGCAGGAGAAAUGUUGAAGAAAUCCAAACUUGAUGCAAUGGUUGAUAAAAUGGUAAAGGAUGAUGAGAAAGACAAGAGCAAAGAUGACCGUAAACGUCGAGACGAAAAAGGGCGUGACAAAGAAGACAGGAGCCGAGACAAGAGGAAACACAAGAGCGGUAAAAGGAGGUCUAGGUCUCCAAGAAGAUCCAAAUCACCGAAGCGAUCUCGGUCCCCCAAAGUAAACCCUUUGGAACUGAAAUCCUGGGAGGACUUCAAAUCUUCUGGGUUCGAACUAGCGGGCGGUUACCGAAGGUACAAACUGCGCGCUAUGGAAGAACUCGAAAAGCAGAAAACUAAGAAGCGUGACAAACAUCGAUCUUCCAGACGACACUCCAGGUCUCGCUCUCGAUCUCCCAGCCCCAACAAGCCUGUGGCGGAGGAAGUAGAGAAAGCAGUAAGUCAGAGGAUUAAUUUGCUGGAGACCCCGAUGCACAUGAAAAUGCCUGUCAUUGUGACCAACUCAAAGGAGGAAGUGAUCGAGUAUCCUGGAUUCUUUGUCAAGCACACAAGAUGUAAACCGCAAUUAUGCUAUGCUGAAAAUAAGAAAUAUCUAUCGGAACACUAUCAGACACGACAAGAACUCUUCGCCUCAUUGCCACCUGAUAUCAAGAUCAUUGUACAGAAGUUUUUGAACAGUAUUCGUGGUCUGAGGUUGAAAGAUCCAAGCAAGAAAGAAGGAAACAGGAUGAAAGAACAGAGCUGGUAUGAGAAAGAAUACCUCACGGAAUCAAGUCACCUUGCCUCGGAAGAUGAUGAAAUAAUUCUUGAAGAAUUUGCUGAUCCUGUUCUUAUGAGCCCAGCAAACGCAACUAAUGAACUCGUCGACAAGUCUGAGGAUCAGCCCCGAAAACCAAGAGUUUCUCGCUUCUCAGACAAUGUUGAAGCUGCGAACAGCACGUCAAUCAUCCCUCGCUCUAAGUGGGACAGUGAUCACGAAUAUAGUCCUGAGAGAAAUGAUGAAAGCAAACCAUUAUUCCCGAUUCAAACAGACUUAGAGCCCAGCCAAAUUUUCAAGAGUGAAACUCCUGCUGAUAAAAGCAAACCAGAACAGAACAGCCUUUUGGCUGAUGAGAGCAAGUUUGGCUCAAUGGAAGAAAGUGCUGUAUACUCUAAAGGAAAAGAGGAAGUGCACCAAAAAAGCUCAAAGUUGAGCGAAGAAAACGGAAGGCAUUCAGUCGAAAGAAUUAAAAGUCGCCGUGAAAGUUCAAAACAUAAGGAAGGACUUCCAAAGUUGUCUGAGGAGAAAGGAAAAAACAGUCAAAGAAAGUUCCAAGUAUAGAGAAGAAGGGGUAAGGGCAAGUCCUAGGCCAUCGGAAGAACGAAGGAAAGAUCGUAGAGAAAGCCUAAAAGUCGAAGAAGAAAGUUAUAAAUCAAGCCCUGUGCAUUCGGUAGAAAGAGAAAAAGAUCGCAAAGAAAGUUCUAAAUUAAGAGAAGUCAGCCGCAAAGAAAGCCCUAAGCCAUCGGAGGAAAGGAUAAGAGAUCGCAGCAAAAGCUAUGAUGAUAGCCCUAAACUGUCGGAAGAACGUGGAAGAAGUCGUAGAGAGACCCCUAGGUUAUCUGUAGAACAGAAGAGAAGCCGUAGAGAAAGUAAUCAUGAAAGCAAUAAAGUUGCAGAAGAAAAGGGAAAAAGUGUCAAAGAUAGCUCAAGUCGACAAGAAGAAAGUGAAAAACGCAGAGAAAGCUCAAAACAUAAGAUCGAAGGUGAGAAGCAGGGAGACAAUUCCAAAAAAGACAACAAGAAAGAACCAGGCUCCUCUUCUGAUCUUGAUAUCUCAAAAAGUGAUCAUAAUGAUGUCAGUGAUGCGAUACAUAAUGAUGACAUAGAUGAGGAUUUCAAAGAAAACGAACGGUACGUAGACCAUUUCAAAACUGAAAAUAGAAGCAACUCUUCAUACAGCAAAUCCAAUCAUCAAGAAGCAAUAGAUUAUAAAACUCACAGUGAAAACAGUAAUAGCAUGAAAAAGUCCAACAGCUCGAAAAGCAAUAUGGAUAAUCGAGAAGAAAUCAGUAAAAUAAACUUGGAGUAUGAAGAGUUUCUUAAAAUGGUCUCAGUACCGGAGCCAGAGAACAAAACAGAAAAUGUCGAUGAAAUCGAAUCGUCUUCGAAAUUACAAAGUUUAACUGCAGAAACUCUAAAACUAGAUGUCAACAUAAAUCCCUUAAAGGCGUUGAAAGAUGAAGACCUAAUCGCUUUAACCAAUGCCAUGGCGAAAGAAGUAAAGAAAUCGGCGAAAGAACAAACUAAAAAGAAAAGAAAGCGAGAUUCAUCCACUUCGUCUUCCUCGUCCUCUAGUUCCUCAUCCUCUUCGUCAUCCAAGUCCUCAGGUUCAUCCUCUGACUCUGAUGACAAGCCAAAGAAAAAGAAGAAACGCAAAUCUGAACCACCAACUGAAUCCAGCAGUAAAAAGAAAAAGUCCAGCAAGGGAUCAAGCAAAAGCAAGAAAGCUGCCUCCAAGAAGAAAUCAAAGUCAAAGAAAAAAAGAGCUAGAUCUUCCUCGUCUUCAUCAAGUGACAACUCUUCAGACAGCGAUAGUGGUAGUUCAUCAGCUUCAAGUUCAGACUCUGAUUCUAGUAGCAGUAGUAGCAGUAGCUCCUCUGCAAAAUCCAAGCGAAAAACACUUAAGAAACUCAAGCAAUUAAGCCAAAAAAUGGCAAAGAGAAUCAAUAACGGCAAAGACAAAGAUACAGAAAAAGGCUCUGCAAAAAAAUCCAGUAAAAAAUCAAAGAAAUUGGAAAAAGAUAAAGCUGGGCUCAAGAAGUUGAUAAAGAAAAUUAAGAAGCUCGAAAAAGAAGAAAGUAAAAGGAAAAGGAAGUCGACCACCUCUAGUUCGGAAAUAGAUGAAAGUAAGCACAAGUCAAAAAAAAGCAAAGGAAAUAAAGGAUCCCCAGAAGAAGUGAAAAGUCGAAAGACAACCGGAAGUUGGAGUGACUCGGAUAAUGAAAGUGCUAAGCCGUCAAAAACGGGGUCAGCGGGAAAACAGGCGGCGUUAACGAUGAAAGCAAAAGCUCCGAGAAGUCUUUUUUUCGGGAGGAUUUUCACCUUGGGAAAGUCAAAGAUAAGUACGACAAAAACUGAAAGAUAAAGUGAAAAAGACAG